AUAUGAAUCAUUUGUAAGUCACUCUGGAUAAGAGCGUCUGCUAAAUAACGUAAA
rfam:Salmo salar isolate Sally breed double haploid chromosome ssa20, whole genome shotgun sequence.